UGAGACCCUAGACAUAGAAUUGUGUAAUGCUCUUUUCUGUCUGUUUCUAGAUUUGGGCCACCAUAAAUCCAGCUUGCUUAUUGUUAUGUGACAGCCCAGAUCUUAUCUCUAUCUGCAGCCCCCCCCUCCAAAACUGCUCAGUU
rnacentral:lncRNA from 1 species